UACGGAGGGUGCGAGCGUUGUCCGGAAUCACUGGGCGUAAAGCGCACGUAGGCGGCUUUCUAAGUCAGGGGUGAAAUCCUGGAGCUCAACUCCAGAACUGCCUUUGAUACUGGAAGGCUUGAGUCCGGGAGAGGUGAGUGGAACUGCGAGUGUAGAGGUGAAAUUCGUAGAUAUUCGCAAGAACACCAGUGGCGAAGGCGGCUCACUGGCCCGGUACUGACGCUGAGGUGCGAAAGCGUGGGGAGCAAACAGG
rnacentral:rRNA from 1 species